rnacentral:tRNA from 1 species
GAGGUUUUAUAUUAGUUGAAGGUGCUAACUUUGAUUAGGGAUUAGGAAUGAUUCCAAACUUCU